GGAUGAAGAACGUAGCGAAAUGCGAUACGUAAUGUGAAUUGCAGAAUUCAGUGAAUCAUCGAAUCUUUGAACGCAUAUUGCGCUCUCUGGUAUUCCGGAGAGCAUGCUUGUUUGAGUAUCAGUAAACACCUCAACUUCCAUAUCUUUUUUGAAAUGGGAGUUGGACUUGAGUGAUCCCAACGCUUUUCCUCACCGAAAAGUGGCGGGUUACUUGAAAUGCAGGUGCAGCUGGACUUUUCUCUGAGCUAUAAGCAUAUCUAUUUAGUCUGCCUAAAAAACAGAUUAUUACCUUUGCUGCAGCUAACAUAAAGGAGAUUAGUUCUUGUGCUGACUGAUGCAGGAUUCACAAAGACGGCUUCGGCCGACUUUGUAAACUCGAUCUCAAAUCAAGUAAGACUACCCGCUGAACUUAAGCAUAUCAAUAAGCGGAGGA
rnacentral:misc_RNA from 1 species